rnacentral:rRNA from 1 species
UGGCUCAGAUUGAACGCUGGCGGCAGGCCUAACACAUGCAAGUCGAACGGUAGCACAGAGAGCUUGCUCUCGGGUGACGAGUGGCGGACGGGUGAGUAAUGUCUGGGAAACUGCCUGAUGGAGGGGGAUAACUACUGGAAACGGUAGCUAAUACCGCAUAACGUCGCAAGACCAAAGAGGGGGACCUUCGGGCCUCUUGCCAUCAGAUGUGCCCAGAUGGGAUUAGCUAGUAGGUGGGGUAACGGCUCACCUAGGCGACGAUCCCUAGCUGGUCUGAGAGGAUGACCAGCCACACUGGAACUGAGACACGGUCCAGACUCCUACGGGAGGCAGCAGUGGGGAAUAUUGCACAAUGGGCGCAAGCCUGAUGCAGCCAUGCCGCGUGUAUGAAGAAGGCCUUCGGGUU